AUUGAACGCUGGCGGCAGGCUUAACACAUGCAAGUCGAGCGAGCGGCGGACGGGUGAGUAAUGUCUGGGAAACUGCCUGAUGGAGGGGGAUAACUACUGGAAACGGUAGCUAAUACCGCAUACCAUCAGAUGUGCCCAGAUGGGAUUAGCUAGUAGGUGGGGUAAUGGCUCACCUAGGCGACGAUCCCUAGCUGGUCUGCGAGGAUGACCAGCACCACUGGAACUGAGACACGGUCAAGACUCUGACGGGAGGCAGCAGUGGGGAAGAUUGCACAAUGGGCGCAAGCCUGAUGCAGCCAUGCCGCGGGUGUGAAGAAGGCCUUCGGGUUGUAAAGCACGUUCAGCGAGGAGGCGUUACUCGCAGAAGAAGCACCGGCUAACUCCGUGCCAGCAGCCGCGGUAAUAC
rnacentral:rRNA from 1 species